AUUGAACGCUGGCGGCAUGCUUUACACAUGCAAGUCGAACGGCAGCACGGGGGCAACCCUGGUGGCGAGUGGCGAACGGGUGAGUAAUAUAUCGGAACGUACCCGGAAAUGGGGGAUAACGUAGCGAAAGUUACGCUAAUACCGCAUAUUCUGUGAGCAGGAAAGCAGGGGAUCGCAAGACCUUGCGCUGAUUGAGCGGCCGAUGUCAGAUUAGCUAGUUGGUGAGGUAAAGGCUCACCAAGGCGACGAUCUGUAGCGGGUCUGAGAGGAUGAUCCGCCACACUGGAACUGAGACACGGUCCAGACUCCUACGGGAGGCAGCAGUGGGGAAUUUUGGACAAUGGGGGCAACCCUGAUCCAGCCAUGCCGCGUGAGUGAAGAAGGCC
rnacentral:rRNA from 1 species